AUUGACGCUGGCGGCAUGCCUUACACAUGCAAGUCGAACGGCAGCGGACCUUCGGGUGCCGGCGAGUGGCGAACGGGUGAGUAAUGCAUCGGAACGUGCCAUUGAGUGGGGGAUAACGUAGCGAAAGUUACGCUAAUACCGCAUAUUCUGUGAGCAGGAAAGCAGGGGACCGCAAGGCCUUGCGCUCUUUGAGCGGCCGAUGUCAGAUUAGCUAGUUGGUGAGGUAAAGGCUUACCAAGGCGACGAUCUGUAGCGGGUCUGAGAGGAUGAUCCGCCACACUGGAACUGAGACACGGUCCAGACUCCUACGGGAGGCAGCAGUGGGGAAUUUUGGACAAUGGGGCGCAAGCCCUGAUCCAGCCAUGCCGCGUGAGUG
rnacentral:rRNA from 1 species